GUAUGACGUCACCAAAGCCUCGUUUCCUUAAAUGGAAACUUUUGCCCCGCCUUUCUUCAGAAAUGAUUGGCAGUUUGAGAGAGUUUGAAAGCACCAAGCUUUUGGAUUUUACAGCAUUUGGGAAUGGGUGAACUGGCUUCCUCUGAAACACUGUGGCUGUGUGCUGGAGAAGAAAAGAGGAUUGAUGGAUGUUACGGAUGGAUGAAGGUGACUCAGUGGAUGCGUCACUAUGGAGUGAACACACCAGAUGUAGCGCACAUUCCUUCUCUGUGCCCGUCUGUCUUACUCAUGGGAUUGAAGGACUCAUGUGAACAUGAGUCAGACACAGUUGGCAAUGAAGCAAACAUGAUCUUAUUAGUCAUGAUUAUAGCAAGGGAUCUUACGGCACAGGCGCACCCACAUUGUCUUAUCCUCUUUCACUUCCUUACUUUGCGAUUAUUAAAAUUUCAGUAUCUGUUAAUGUUCAGUGAACUCUUUUUCAACUCCUCCAGUAUCAUGCUUUCCAGCAAAGUUAUGAAAUAGAUUACCAAUACAGAUAAGUUUAUUUGUCACAUAUCCUUCCUAAAGUACUUCAUGUGUUUUUGGGAAGUUCCUACUUAGCAGGGUUGGGUGAAAUUUAAAAAUUGAGUUGGAAUUUGGCCACAACACACAGCUUUCUAUCUUCAAAGAUGUCAUGAAAUGAAAACUCACCCUAUCUUUUUAAAUGCAUGUUUUAUAUUUUAUUAUGAACGUUGCAUCAUGUGUAUGUUUCCAUUUUUAUGUCAUAACUGGUUCUUCUGGGUCUUCCUCUCUCUGGUGACAUAUGCUAGACUUCUAGUAGGAUGCACAUCCCUUUUCUUACAAAUAUUUCUUAUGUGAGUUCAAGUGAUUUCAGUCUGAUUACUGAAGACACUAAAUGAUUUUGGACAGUUGGAGUUGAAAAUUACAUUCAGGCUCCUUUUUUAGCUUCAGACUGUGAUUUUAUUCAGUUGGAGGAUUAAAAAAUGUAUGAUAUUUUGAAUCGAUUUUGUUAUCAUGACUUUUAGCAAUGAGACACAUGAUUCUGCAUGAGUUUGUUGUGUGGAAAGUCUGGUAGUGUAUCAUCACAGGUUGUUUAGUGUACACGUUCUAAAAAAUAAUGUGUUGGCUCAACAAAACAAAAAAAAUAAAAUAAAAAUAAACACAACAGUUUGCAUAUUUUUUUGAGUUAUGGCAACUUUGAGUGAUUUUACAUCCAACCAACAAGCUACAUUGAGUUGGAGGAACUUAAUAAUUUGUAGUAUAAACACAAAUUUUUCAGUUUUUCAGUUCAAAUCAACAGCUAUCAUAGCACAUGCUAACAUAACUUAUUUAACAUAUUUAAUGAACAAGUAAGAUAUUACUCGUCACUGACCGUCAUUGCUUAUAGAGUCAAUGUAGUGUUUACCUUCAUGUAUCUGCUCUUCAGCACAAUGAUAACCACAAAAACUCUUUUAAAUGUCGAACAUAACAGCAUUAAACACUAACAGGUCUUUCCCUUCACUAAAAACAAAAAAAAAUAAUACUUCAUUUCAACAUUUACUCUCCUUAAGCCCUGGGUAUACUUUGUUUUUUUACACGUACGCUAGAGUACGCACACAGCCUUGCAAAGUAUACUUCACUUGACUCGUCGUUCGAUGCAUGCGUUACUCUCGCCACGAGUUACAACCCAUGUAAACAUCUUUGUAUUCUUUUAUGCUAGAGUUGUACAGGUCAGGGUACUUUCUAACCUGUUUGCACAAUCUCUCGUCUAUAUAGGCCUCCAUUGUCGCUGUAGCUUGCAUGCGUUCCGGUCUGUUCUGUUUAUGCAGGUUUUCUUUGACUACCUUUUGAAUCGACGCCCCCAGGGCA